ACUCCUACGGGAGGCAGCAGUGGGGAAUUUUGGACAAUGGGCGAAAGCCUGAUCCAGCCAUGCCGCGUGCAGGAUGAAGGCCUUCGGGUUGUAAACUGCUUUUGUACGGAACGAAACGGCCUUUUCUAAUAAAGAGGGCUAAUGACGGUACCGUAAGAAUAAGCACCGGCUAACUACGUGCCAGCAGCCGCGGUAAUACGUAGGGUGCAAGCGUUAAUCGGAAUUACUGGGCGUAAAGCGUGCGCAGGCGGUUAUGUAAGACAGUUGUGAAAUCCCCGGGCUCAACCUGGGAACUGCAUCUGUGACUGCAUAGCUAGAGUACGGUAGAGGGGGAUGGAAUUCCGCGUGUAGCAGUGAAAUGCGUAGAUAUGCGGAGGAACACCGAUGGCGAAGGCAAUCCCCUGGACCUGUACUGACGCUCAUGCACGAAAGCGUGGGGAGCAAACAGGAUUAGAAACCCGAGUAGUCCCAUG
rnacentral:rRNA from 1 species